UACCCCAUUGGAAGCAAUGCGGAAAGCAUUUUCCUCUUUAAAACAGGGAAUGAUUGACAAAUCUGAUGAAGUUGGUGCAUCUUUCUAAGGUGACUUUCAAGAUGGGGUAGGGCCCAGCUCACAUCUCCAGCAGCAAAACCCCUGACACUUGACCGCAAGGUGGCUGCCAGUCUUGGCACUUGGCCUCCCACCUGGGCUCUGAGCUCUCACAGGAACUUUGGAGGGUGGAGCUGCGCUCCCCUCCCUUGGAAAAGGAUUCAGAGGGAAAAGAAGAGCCCAAUUAUCCGAUCAGGUUGGCUUCCACUGGGAACCUCGAUCUUUUCAUAUCAAGAAAGAGAAACACAACUGGUUCUGAGCCUUUGGCCUCCCAGAGAAUGUUUUUGAAGGCUCACCUGUUUCUGCCGGAUCUCUAAGCUCUGAAAUAAAGGUACAGUCUAGAGACAAAAAGACUAGUCAGGAGGGACAUUUGAACCUGUUUGGCUAAAACAAUGAAAGGAAAUCCUUGGGGGCAAAGAACAAGGGGCACUUGUGGGAUAAUCUGUAGCCACACCAGACUCCCAGAGCUGAUGGAUUCCAGCAUGAACCAGAUGGACAGUUUAUGCGGCAUUAUUCUCUGCCACCGACAGCUGGAUCGAGAAACCACGCAAAGGAGCAGGCAGGACCCGCCAAAUAGCAAGGGGAACAGUCAACGCAAGAAUCACUCUUCUCUCCAGGGAACCAACAGGACUGUGAUCAUUUUCCUUAAAGGAGCUCCCAACUCGGGAGAACUGAACAUCCUGCUACUGGCUUUAACAAGGGGAGCCCUGCCAAAUUCUGGAAAAUCUAUCCCAAGCACAAUAUAAGUGGAAACCAACUAUGGAAAUCCUCAUUUGAGCCAGUGGAGGCCUGUUGACUUCCUAAAAUAAUUUUCUAGUUACAGGAGCAUAAGAUAUCUCCAGUUGAAUCUUGUUUGCUUCUUUGUAGCUUUUGGUGAAGACUAGAAUACCUGGCUGUGAUAUGACCAAGACAGACGUUCUCUGGGACAAAGCAGGAGGAGCCAGGCUGUGCCCAGGAGGGACCCAGAGAUCCCAGGGCAAAGGGACAACUUCAGUAGACCUGCUGACUUGGGGUCAUAUACUUCCCCGAAGAAAUCACAUCCCAUUUCCUAAAAUCAAGCCCAUACAUUUUUUUUCAAGGAGAAAUCCUGGUAAAUUGGCUUAUAGGUAAGGAUAUAACCCGAGGCAUCACUCUGGAGCUGAAUGAGUCCAAGUGAUGGACCAAAGAGCUGAACCAGUCUAAGCCUGGGGGAGCGGUCAGGGGAGCGGAGGGGAGGAGGGCUCUUCUUCAUCCCUUUUCUAAACCACACACAACAGCAGUGGUAUGUCUACAGCUCGGGAACACAGCAGGAUUUUGGAAGAAAGAGCGAUGUCAUCUUUCAAGGCAGGGUAUCAUCAAUCAUAGUCCAGAGCUGGGAAGAUGUCCCGACGCACGUGUCUGGUUUCGCAGUUUUUCCAGUGGACCAGGAAGUUCUCUUUCAUCUCCUGGGCUCAACAGAAAUACUCUAUUCUCACUGGGUAUUUUAGUUUUUGAUCUCCAACAUCUGGUCCAGGAGUUAGGAGACCUGAGUUCUAGAUUCUGCUACACAAUCACUCAUUUAAAAUAUCACUGAUCGACUAAGUGUGACUCCUUUUGCUCUGAGCCUCUGCUUCCUGAUAUAAAAAGAGAGGUGGUCUGGGUGAUUAAGGUCUCUUCUUGCUCUCAGCAUCUACGAAUCUAUGAAAUUAUACCUCCCUGUGUCUGUGAUAAUAAAGCAAAACACUAGUCCCAGUCUUCCUGCAGGAAUGCCAGAGUUGAGGCUACUCGAAGCUGGGAACAAGACCCCCUGAGGAGGGUUUCAGCAAACUUAAACUCUUUCUUGGAAGUUCUCCACUCGCUGCUACCAUCUGUCUGACACACAUCAUGGCCCGGUUGAAUUUCCUCAUUGAAACCACUCAUUUCUUUAUAUUUAAUGAUUCCUUCUAUGUGGCUUUACCUCCUACAAGUCAUCCUUCGAGACAACGGUGCAGUAUCUGGUACAGUGUGUCCCAUGGAACUGCCACAGCCCAACCACUGGGAUCCAACGGUCUUGAUCUCCUCAUUCCGGCGUUUCUGCUCUUCUUUAUUUUGAUGGAAAAAAUGGGAAAGAACAGCUCUUAAGAUUCUUAUCAUUUAUUCAAUCAUGAAGAUGUAACUUGCCUUUGUCUACACUGAUAAAGACAACAUACUGCAUUGCAGGUAUGUAAUCGACACAAACCCAAUCCCUGCCAUCCUGGCCUUAUGAUCCAGCAGGGAAGCUAGACUGUCCUCUUAUGGUUUGGAAAAUAAUACAAACUCCAACUCUUCAUCAGUUACUAAAAGAACCUAAGGUAAUCCUCUAACUUUGGAGCCAUGGUAACUAUUUUUAACCUGAGGAUGAGAAAGUCUCACUCUUCCAGCUGGGAACUCCAUUGAGUUCUUGGAAAAUGCCUCUAUCUGUAAGAUACUGAGGCCAGUAGGUUCUGCAAGAAUAUGAAUAAGUUAGAAAAAUAAUUGGUAUGCUAGAUGGCUCAAUCAUUUUUGACAAAAGAUUCCAGGAAGGUCAGAAUCAAGAACCAAACUCUAAGGAAGGGGCAUAAGGUUUCUGAGGUCAUCAACUCCAGUGGCACUUGCAGCCAUCUUGAAGGGGGUCAGGAGAAUCACAUGCCCUUUGCCCUUCAGAUAGCCAGAAAGUCAAAUGGCAAACCAUGGGGGAGGGGGUCUCACAUCUGAUGUAUGUGCGCUCUCUUGUGUAUUUCCUACCUCGGGCUUCAAAGUCAACACCCAUCCAUUCGUGGGACUCUCCAAGUAAAACUCCUUUUUUACCACUCACAAAGCCAAGGACUUCAGGCUUUGGUUGUAAGUUCCUAAAGUCAGGGGUUGACCCUUCAUUAUUACUGUACUCUGAGCCUUUUACAUGGUACCUGUUGACACACAGGUUGAAAGAAACCAAUCUCUGAGGAAGGAGCUCCCCUCUCCAAUAUAGUGCAAGAUCCCUGCAUUAGGUAAUGAUGUAACCAUCAACCAUCACGUCUGCCACAGCCAUUAUGGCUCUCUGACAAGACCGCGAGGGAGCACAUGGGUGGCGUGGAGACACUUGCGUAAUCCAUUUCAAACAGCCUGAGUGUCAUCAAGGCAACCAGCCACAACCUGUGCUUAGACGUAUGAAAAGAGUGAGACAAUAACACUGCGGUGUAGCCAUUCAGCUAAUUACCUCAAGCCUAGUGGAAACCUUUUCCAUCAGUGUGUUUCAGAGAGUAGCAACAUCUCCUAGCAGGAUGGCUUCUGCUUCAUAUUAAUGCUCAUACAGUAGGACAGUGAGCUCAGCUAGUCUUACGGCUAUGUGUGGUUUAAAAAAUCUAGAGGAUGG